AAGACUGGGAUAACUCCGGGAAACCGGAGCUAAUACCGGAUAGUUCCUUGAACCGCAUGGUUCAAGGAUGAAAGACGGUUUCGGCUGUCACUUACAGAUGGACCCGCGGCGCAUUAGCUAGUUGGUGGGGUAAUGGCUCACCAAGGCGACGAUGCGUAGCCGACCUGAGAGGGUGAUCGGCCACACUGGGACUGAGACACGGCCCAGACUCCUACGGGAGGCAGCAGUAGGGAAUCUUCCGCAAUGGACGAAAGUCUGACGGAGCAACGCCGCGUGAGUGAUGAAGGUUUUCGGAUCGUAAAGCUCUGUUGUUAGGGAAGAACAAGUGCGAGAGUAACUGCUCGCACCUUGACGGUACCUAACCAGAAAGCCACGGCUAACUACGUGCCAGCAGCCGCGGUAAUACGUAGGUGGCAAGCGUUGUCCGGAAUUAUUGGGCGUAAAGGGCUCGCAGGCGGUUUCUUAAGUCUGAUGUGAAAGCCCCCGGCUCAACCGGGGAGGGUCAUUGGAAACUGGGAAACUUGAGUGCAGAAGAGGAGAGUGGAAUUCCACGUGUAGCGGUGAAAUGCGUAGAGAUGUGGAGGAACACCAGUGGCGAAGGCGACUCUCUGGUCUGUAACUGACGCUGAGGAGCGAAAGCGUGGGGAGCGAACAGGAUUAGAUACCCUGGUAGUCCACGCCGUAAACGAUGAGUGCUAAGUGUUAGGGGGUUUCCGCCCCUUAGUGCUGCAGCUAACGCAUUAAGCACUCCGCCUGGGGAGUACGGUCGCAAGACUGAAACUCAAAGGAAUUGACGGGGGCCCGCACAAGCGGUGGAGCAUGUGGUUUAAUUCGAAGCAACGCGAAGAACCUUACCAGGUCUUGACAUCCUCUGACAACCCUAGAGAUAGGGCUUUCCCUUCGGGGACAGAGUGACAGGUGGUGCAUGGUUGUCGUCAGCUCGUGUCGUGAGAUGUUGGGUUAAGUCCCGCAACGAGCGCAACCCUUGAUCUUAGUUGCCAGCAUUCAGUUGGGCACUCUAAGGUGACUGCCGGUGACAAACCGGAGGAAGGUGGGGAUGACGUCAAAUCAUCAUGCCCCUUAUGACCUGGGCUACACACGUGCUACAAUGGACAGAACAAAGGGCUGCAAGACCGCAAGGUUUAGCCAAUCCCAUAAAUCUGUUCUCAGUUCGGAUCGCAGUCUGCAACUCGACUGCGUGAAGCUGGAAUCGCU
rnacentral:rRNA from 1 species